GCCGGGGUGGUGGAACUGGUAGACACGAAGGACUUAAAAUCCUUUACUCCAAAAGAGUGUGCGGGUUCGAUUCCCGCCUUCGGCACCA
rnacentral:tRNA from 1 species